rnacentral:rRNA from 1 species
ACGGAGGGUGCGAGCGUUGUCCGGAAUCACUGGGCGUAAAGGGCGCGUAGGUGGCCUGUGGAAGUCUGCGGUGAAAGCCCGGCGCUCAACGCCGGGUCGGCCGUGGAUACUCUCGGGCUCGAGCUUACUAGAGGCAGAUGGAAUUCCGGGUGUAGCGGUGGAAUGCGUAGAGAUCCGGAAGAACACCGGUGGCGAAGGCGGUCUGCUGGGGUAAUGCUGACACUGAUGCGCGACAGCGUGGGGAGCAAACAGGA